CUUGCCUCCCCCUAUACCAAGCUCACCUACCUUUUGAAGGGUAAUUGAUUCCAUUCCUGCCGGACAGCCUGGGAUCUGGCUCGCCCAGUGUCCUGCACUAAGCAGAAAGAAAACCAGCGAAAAUGCCUAGUGGAACCUAUCACUUAUCCAAUAGUAGAUCCUCAGAGUAGCAUUUUCAAGUGAAAGCCUCCUACUUUAUUGAGGAAAAACCUUACCAGCCUGGAUGUCAUCUUGGGAAAUCCACCAGUCCUCUAAGUAACUAAAACAACAGACGGUCCUGUGGUGUGGGCUCUAUGCAGGGAAAUGAUGGGUCAGCAGCAGCUGGUCAGCACCACCAAGAGCACUCCAGCUGCCUCAACAAUAGCCCUCAGAGAACCCAGCUCCAGAGCAUAAGCUGCUACCCAGGGAGGAAUUGCAUGGUAACCAGAUGCUGUCAAAGAAGAUUCCUGAGUCCUGCUUUAUCUGGUGAAAGAGGCAGCAA